AUUGAACGCUGGCGGCAGGCUUAACACAUGCAAGUUGAGCGAGCGGCGGACGGGUGAGUAAUGUCUGGGAAACUGCCCGAUGGAGGGGGAUAACUACUGGAAACGGUCGCUAAUACCGCAUACCUUCGGAUGCGCCCAGAUGGGAGUAGCUAGUAGGUGGGGUAACGGCUCACCUACGCGACGAUCCCUAGCUGGUCUGAGAGGAGGACCAGCCAGACUGGAACUGAGACACGGGCCAGACUCCUACGGGAGGCAGCAGUGGGGAAUAUUGCACAAUGGUCGCAAGCCUGAUGAAGCCAGGCCGCGUGUAUGAAGAAGGCCUUCGGGUUGUAAAGUACUUUCAGCGAGGAGGCGGUACUCGAAGAAGAAGCACCUGAUAACUCCGUGCCAGCAGGCGCGGUAAUUC
rnacentral:rRNA from 1 species